GACGGAGGAUGCAAGCGUUAUCCGGAAUGAUUGGGCGUAAAGCGUCCGCAGGUGGCAGUUCAAGUCUGCUGUCAAAGACCGGGGCUUAACUUCGGAAAGGCAGUGGAAACUGAACAGCUAGAGUAUGGUAGGGGCAGAGGGAAUUCCUGGUGUAGCGGUGGAAUGCGUAGAGAUCCGGAAGAACACCGGUGGCGAAGGCGGCCUGCUGGGCAGUUUUGCUGACACUGAGGCGCGACAGCGUGGGGAGCAAACAGG
rnacentral:rRNA from 1 species